rnacentral:tRNA from 1 species
UCUUGGAUGGCUCAGUGGUAAAGAAUCUGUCUGCAAUGCAGGAGAUGCAGGUUCAAUCCCUGGGUCGGGAA